rnacentral:lncRNA from 1 species
CCAGCCCAGCUUUGCUCAUCACCAACCCAAGCUUGCACAUCAUGGUGUUUGGAGGAGCCCCCAGGAGGCUGGAUAGCAGCAGUGACACCUUUGGGGUUACCACAAGCCAUCUGAGGACAUGGGACAAGGGCACUGUUCGUUGCCCAAAUGACUCCCUGCAGAGACAAGCACACAAACCCUGCCCCUCGAUGAGAUAUAUCCCCUCCUUUUGUUGGCACCUUGGAGCUCCUUCCCCAUCCACAGGCUUUCACAGAUUUUCAAGCUCCAUCCCCAUCCUAUUCCGUACAUGGGUGAGGCAACAACCAGCCCAACUCUGCACCCCAAUACCUAUGGGCAGCCCCCCCAGCUGCCUUCCCAGGCUGAGCCUGUGAGCAAUUGCCGGGCAAAAAAUGACUUUCAGCUGGACUGUGUUAAGCAUGGGUGGUGCUGCCCUGAGCAAUGGCUGCAGGGAGUGGUGGCUCUAUUUAAGGCAGUAUCUGCCAGCCCUACUGGGGCUAUUGGUGGUAGCUGUGUUGGGGGUGAUGUCCUUGGUGUCAUCCUGUGGUCUCCAGUCUCCAGGAGUGGUGUGCCUGUGCUGGUGGCCCUGGAGAAACCUUAUUAACUGUUUAUUGGGCAGUUAUACAACACUUCAAGGUCUUUCAUCUUUUUCUGCCUGUCCAUUUACAUCAAGCCCAAGAGAGCAGACAAAACUGUCACUAUCCAGCAAGCUGUGCGAGGGAAGCCAGGAUGCAAUGACUUGCUCUGCAUUGGCGAUUGAAGGAACAGCGCCUGACUAAUGACACUGGACAGCAAGGAAAUCCAGUUGUCCUGGAAGAGCAGGCAGGCUGUUGAAAUGUCAGAUGGUAAAAACAACCAAGAGUUCCAGAUGGGGCAGUCAGAAGAGAAACAUGCCGAAGAUGGUAAUGGGAAAGUUCUGGAUUCUCUCAGCUGGGAGUCCCAUGUCCUCACCUGUGACUUCCCAAACCAAUCACUGUGCAAGCCUUACGCAAAGCAGUAUGCCUUGAGGAAGUUCUUCAUAACCAGGAAAACCGACCCAUUAGCCCAGCACGCGGAGCUCCCCCUCACUGCAGCGGCCAGACAGCUUUUUGGAGGCCUGGCAGACGCAACCUGGGCCAGCACCCUCACUUCAGCACGUGUGGCCAUCAUCCACUGCUUGGUGCAGCAUGUCACGUCUGUGUCUGCAGCGCGUUGUGGACUGACAGAAAUAACGAGAAGGAGCAAGUGCACUGCUCAUGUCCUCCUACCUGCUACUCUGCAGAUGGGACUUCACCAUGCUGAGCAGCUCCUGAGCACAGCAAAUCUUUCUCACCCACUUCAACUGUGUUAG